CUUUUCAAGCGGUUGCUUGAGAUGGAACGAUUGCGUGGUUGGCGAUGUCCUUUGGUAACCGUCAAAAAACAUAAGGCUAAUCUUCGGGACGGCUGAACCGA